rnacentral:misc_RNA from 1 species
CUAACACACCAACAAGAACAAUCUCAGCUAUUGCGUCAAUGCUCUGGGAAGAUUUGGUUAAUAAUUCCAAAAAGGAACCAGGUCGUCCAGGAGAUUUCAUUAACAGGAAGAAGAUCCAGUGUGCUGAGAAGAUGAUUAGAGGAGCAUUUGUGGAGCUCUAUAGAGGCCUUGGCCUUCUUAAAACUUACAGCUCACUCAACAUGGUGGCUUUUACCAAAAUACUCAAGAAAUUUGAUAAGGUAUCAAACCAGCAUGCAUCAGCAAGUUAUCUAAAAGCAGUGAAGAGAUCCUACUUCAUUAGCUCUGAUAAGGUUGUUAGACUAAUGGAUGAAGUGGAGGCCAUAUUCACAAAGCACUUCGCCGACAAUGACAGGAAAAAGGCAAUGAAGUUCCUCAGACCCCAGCAGCGGAAGGAGUCUCACAUGGUCACCUUUUUUGUUGGCUUGUUUACUGGUUGUUUCGUGUCCCUCUUUAGUAUUUAUGCAACCUUGGCACAUAUGUCUGGCAUUUUUAGCCCCAAUGCUGGAAGAUCAUAUGUGGAAACUGUCUACCCUGUUUUCAGUGUGUUUGCAUUGUUAAGCUUGCAUUUGUUCAUG